rnacentral:rRNA from 1 species
AUUGAACGCUGGCGGAAUGCUUUACACAUGCAAGUCGAACGGCAGCACGGGGCAACCUGGUGGCGAGUGGCGAACGGGUGAGUAAUACAUCGGAACGUGCCCAAUCGUGGGGAUAACGUAGCGAAGUUACGCUAAUACCGCAUACGAUCUACGGAUGAAAGCGGGGGAUCGCAAGACCUCGCGCGAGUGGAGCGGCCGAUGUCAGAUUAGGUAGUUGGUGGGGUAAAGGCUCACCAAGCCAACGAUCUGUAGCUGGUCUGAGAGGACGACCAGCCACACUGGAACUGAGACACGGUCCAGACUCCUACGGGAGGCAGCAGUGGGGAAUUUUGGACAAUGGGCGCAAGCCUGAUCCAGCCAUUCCGCGUGCAGGAUGAAGGCCUUCGGUGUAAACUGCUUUGUUACGGAACGAAACGGCGAGCUCUAAUACAGUUUG